rnacentral:lncRNA from 1 species
GUUAGUUAGGGUUAGUUUUGAGAAUUGAUUAAAUAAUCCCUGUUGGGCACUUGAGACAGUGCGAGGCACAUAUGAAGUAUUUCAUGAAUGGUAAUUAUUUCUGCUGUAAUAUCAGCUUCGAAGACAUAGACUUGAAGAGGGUAGGGGAGAGGCACCAAAGAAAAGUUAUAUCCCUGAAACAGGUCUUCUCAAAGUCAACUUUAUCCACGCAAUCUUAUCUCUACAGGAAAGAUUGUGUAUCAGAUCAAAGCCAAGGGACACAGCCAUGUGGCCACAUUGCAGAGGUGUCCUCUCCUCCAGGCAAGCUCUGGGAGGAUGGCAAUUCUGUCUCUCAAUGGUGUGAUUUGGAAAGAAUAGAGGAAAGUCCAGGCUUCUUCUUAAAAUCAUUGACAUGGUAUCAGCAGGAAGGCUUGGGAAGCAACCAAGCAAGAAGGGCUGGAAAUUGGAGAACACAAGUAUUUUUUGUAGGCAACCUCUGUUUGCUGGGCACUCAGUUUCAGACAACAGGAGUGGAUCUGGGGUGGUCCUCCGAAGAACACAUGGUGAAUGUAUCAGAAAAAUAG